UCUUUUAAAGGAGAAGAGGCAGCCGAGGUGAAGGGGCUGAAGAUGGCGGGGCGGGAAGGUGAAGUGGGGCCGCAUCUCUGCUCCGGCUGCAUCUCUGCUCGGGCUCUUAACACAAAACGCUUCCUUUCCAGGGUAGUUCUUCCUAGAAAGUCCCCCUGUGACCCGAGCCACUGGUGUCACAGCUCCAGCAGGAACAAGCCAGCUCUGGAGGGCUGGGCAGGACUGGUUCCAGCACCCACACGUGGAAGAUUUUGCUGGUACAUUUGAGACCAACCAACUCCUGAAUGUGAAAGAAAGGCGGCUCAGCCACAAGGAGAGUGGAAGAGAGCUGGAAUACUGUGCGGCGACUGGAAAAGUUACAAGAAAAUUACAUGGAACCCACUAACCACUCUUACUUGUGACGUGCACUGGGCCUUUCUGGUGAGUACAAUAAGGAUUGUUACGAGUGAUAUCUGUUGUGUGAGGUGUGUGGCGUCAUGCUAAGCAUCUAUGUGGGUAAAUUCAAUCCUCUGAACAGCCUUUACGGUAGAAGCGAUUAUUUCCCCUCCUACAGGUGAGCAUGUGCAGAGAGAGAAAGGAGGAUGCAGUGGGAUCCUUGACUGGCCACCUGUUCGGGCUGGGCGCCCUGGGCAACUUAGUCUCGGGAAGCCCUAGCUUCCUCUGGGAGAAUGAGCAGGAUCACUGUUUACAAAAUUAUUAGGAAUAUUAAAUGAUGUGUGUGCAGGAGCCUAAUGCAUGCUGGGUACUUUUUAAAGAAAACCAUCAUAAAAUGUGAACAGUGGCUCAGUUGUUGGCUCUGCAUAGACACUGCGAUCUGAGCUUGUUCUUUCUCCCCAGAGCAGGAUGAAGACUUGCGCCACAGAAGCAGGAACCCCUGUGAACGUCUCCUACCAGGUAGGUACCACAUAGAUGUGUGAUGCAGCCUACUGUUAAAAAGUGUGUGUGUGUGUGUGGCGGGGGGCAGUAGUAGCAGAGACAGUGGCCCGAACCAUGGUUCAGUGAAGGCUGACAUUCCAACUUGGAGUGGAAGCCAAGAAACCUCAUCCCUACAUGAAGUGUGGCCCACAUGCCACCAGUUUGUGACCCUGGGGACUCUGGUUUAAAGAUGCUAGCUUAUGGAGUUCCCAUGGUGGCUACCUUGUCUCUGUGAGCAUGUGGGUUCAAUCCCUGGCCUGGCUCAGUGGGUUAAGGAUCUGAUGUUGCCGUAAGCUGUGGCAUAGGUCACAGAUGCAGCUUGGACCUGCUGUGGCUCUGGUGGAGCCGGCAGCUGUAGCUCUGAUUCGACCCCCAGCCCUGGAAACUCCCAUAUGCCACCUGUGUGGUUAAAAAACAAAAAAUCUAAAUUCUCUCUGCCUCUUACUUAUUAUAUGACUUUGGCAAAGUCACUUUAGGUUCACUUAAGUGGAACUAAACCCUGGCCCACAGCUCAAGAGGCAGUGCUACAGUUGUCUGGCUAAACUGUGUCAAUGCUCAUGCGUUUUUCUCAGCUCAAUAAUUCCUGUUUGUACGUGAGCAGAUGGCGAGGGCUGUGCUAAGAUGACAGGGCAGCGGGUAGUGGGGCUCGGGGAGUUUACUUUGGCACAGAUCCCAGGGUGCUGUGGGAGACACUGAUUCAUGUGCGUCCCUCAUGAGGUGAGGCCAGGACAACCCUGCUUGUCUGCAGGUGUGUGGCGAGGUGGAAGCCCAGGGGGAGGGGGUUCAUCUCACAGAUGCGUCCCUGAGAGGAUCUCCAAGGCCCUUCCAGGCCAUCCUGCCAUCUCCCUGCUCCAGAACAAACAGCCGUCACUGUACUGGUGUAGCCAAAACAUUGCUGGUAUUUAUUGAAAAGGCAGAACGUGCUGCAUCCGUAGAGAUCCAGCUCCCACAGUUCUCCAGACAUGGGCUGCACGUCACCCUUAGGCUUGUCAUUCCCUCGGGUGGCAGCAAAACUGCUGUAGUGACACGUCCCCAGGAAGAAUAAGCUAGAAGACGCGCCUUGUGUUCUACACGCUAUGAAGGAUUCGGUGAUAAAGUGCUGGCAGAAGCUUGGCUAGGAAGGGCCCUGAGCAGAAGUCCCCAUGCUGGGCAGUCCAGGGCAUUGAUGUCUCCCCUGUGGCCAUCACCUGCCACCAAGACUCAGGUAACAUAAGGCUUAUGCCCCUGACAGGCUGCCAGAGCCACGGGGACGUGGUUUUUCUAAAGGCAGUAAGGCAGUGGAUAGACAUGUGACACUGGCAUUGCCAAUGGGAGGAGGGCGGGAUCAGGCCUUGCGGUGUCUGGGGGAGUGGGGUGGGGUGUCCAUGGAGAGCAUGCCCUGCUGAGGGGCCAGCAGCUUCCACCUGGACCAGCCGGGAAGAGAAAUUGGUUGGAUUGGAGGAUAACCAAGAGGUGGUCCCUGAAAUGACUUCUUCGUCCCACAACUGGGCUCCAUCCCGUGUGGCUAAGCCAAGGGCUCAGGUGUCGUCAGUACCUUUUACUCGCAAUACUGUGUCUAAAGUUUUCUUUCCAAUGACGAUGAAGUGAUUACACACAGGAUCUGAUGCAGUGAGAAGUGGGCUGAUGUGCAGACACUACCCCAGGGUCUGGGCAGUCCUGGUGAGUGGGAAAUACCUUCCUAAAGCAGCCAAGGCCAGACCACCGGCACCAAGGCCUUUGGGACCCCAGAUGGGGAUGAGGCGAGGUCACCUGCUCCUAGGAGGUAAGGAAGUAUCUUUGCACAACUGAAGUUCACAGCGUAUUGGGUCAGCUCGCCUCAAAUUCAGAGAAGUUGGAAGCAAUUACUGCACAAACCGUAAGCUAGAAUUUAGCAGUGGCUGAAAUACUGUUCAGGCUCUUUCAACUUAGGAACGUGGUUUGAUGAGACAUGACAGGCCCAUAAAGGCAAUUCCUGAAGCCUCUGCAAGUCUGGGGAGCUGAUGCUGGAAAUCCCACAUAAUUCAUCUUGUUUAAUUACCUGCCACCCCAUUCCCAACUCCAUUCCCAGAACUGUAAUAAGCUCAUUAAGUCUUAAUGACACCAGAAGGUUCCUUGACUUGCUUCCAAUCAUUCCUCCAAACUAAUGGUUGUCCUGCAGCUCUAAGCUGAGACCACACUGCCUUUCUUCAGAAAUCAAGGCCAAAGGCCUUGGGUUCUUUUACCUCUAGAGAUUCUAAAGCGCCUAAUAAGUGUACUUUCCAGGCUGCUUCUGGAAGCUGAGGACAGUCCCCAUGGCACCAAGGACAGAUCUAGGAGCAGGCCAGGGAGGGACAGGAAGCCUGCAGCCAAGGAGACAGUGAGACUUGGAAACCAACUAGAUGCUACCGAAUGCAGAAUAAAAAUAUCAUCUACAGGAGUUCUUGAACUAUGGGCACGUACAAACCCGGCCUCCCUCUUUCACGCCCCGUGAGAGGCCCCCAGGACAGUCCCCAUGGCACCAAGGACAGAUCUAGGAGCAGGCCAGGGAGGGACAGGAAGCCUGCAGCCAAGGAGACAGUGAGACUUGGAAACCAACUAGAUGCUACCGAAUGCAGAAUAAAAAUAUCAUCUACAGGAGUUCUUGAACUAUGGGCACGUACAAACCCGG
rnacentral:lncRNA from 1 species